AGAGUUUGAUCCUGGCUCAGGAUGAACGCUGGCGGCGUGCUUAACACAUGCAAGUCGAGCGAAGCACUUAGGAAAGAUUCUUCGGAUGAUUUCUUUUGUGACUGAGCGGCGGACGGGUGAGUAACGCGUGGGUAACCUGCCUCAUACAGGGGGAUAACAGUUAGAAAUGACUGCUAAUACCGCAUAAGACCACGGUACCGCAUGGUACAGUGGUAAAAACUCCGGUGGUAUGAGAUGGACCCGCGUCUGAUUAGGUAGUUGGUGGGGUAACGGCCUACCAAGCCGACGAUCAGUAGCCGACCUGAGAGGGUGACCGGCCACAUUGGGACUGAGACACAGCCCAGACUCCUACGGGAGGCAGCAGUGGGGAAUAUUGCACAAUGGAGGAAACUCUGAUGCAGCGACGCCGCGUGAAGGAUGAAGUAUUUCGGUAUGUAAACUUCUACCAGCAGGGAAGAAAAUGACGGUACCUGACUAAGAAGCCCCGGCUAACUACGUGCCAGCAGCCGCGGUAAUACGUAGGGAGCGAGCGUUGUCCGGAAUUACUGGGUGUAAAGGGAGCGUAGGCGGGAAAGCAAGUUGGAAGUGAAAUGCAUGGGCUUAACCCAUGAGCUGCUUUCAAAACUGUUUUUCUUGAGUGAAGUAGAGGCAGGCGGAAUUCCUAGUGUAGCGGUGAAAUGCGUAGAUAUUAGGAGGAACACCAGUGGCGAAGGCGGCCUGCUGGGCUUUAACUGACGCUGAGGCUCGAAAGCGUGGGUAGCAAACAGGAUUAGAUACCCUGGUAGUCCACGCUGUAAACGAUGAUUACUAGGUGUGGGGGAUUUCGGUCCUCCGUGCCGGAGCAAACGCAAUAAGUAAUCCACCUGGGGAGUACGGCCGCAAGGCUGAAACUCAAAGGAAUUGACGGGGGCCCGCACAAGCAGUGGAUUAUGUGGUUUAAUUCGAAGCAACGCGAAGAACCUUACCAGGUCUUGACAUCCGAUGCAUAACUCAGAGAUGAGUGAAAUCCUUUCGGGGACAUCGAGACAGGUGGUGCAUGGUUGUCGUCAGCUCGUGUCGUGAGAUGUUGGGUUAAGUCCCGCAACGAGCGCAACCCCUAUUGAUAGUUGCUACGCAAGAGCACUCUAUCGAGACUGCCGUUGACAAAACGGAGGAAGGUGGGGAUGACGUCAAAUCAUCAUGCCCUUUAUGACCUGGGCUACACACGUAAUACAAUGGCGCAAAACAGAGGGAAACAAGACCGCGAGGUGGAGCAAAACCCUAAAAGGCGUCUUAGUUCAGAUUGCAGGCUGCAACUCGCCUGCAUGAAGGUGGAAUUGCUAGUAAUCGCGGAUCAGCAUGCCGCGGUGAAUACGUUCCCGGGCCUUGUACACACCGCCCGUCACACCAUGGGAGUCGGUAACACCCGAAGUCAGUAGCCUAACCGCAAGGAGGGCGCUGCCGAAGGUGGGAUUGGUAACUGGGGUGAAGUCGUAACAAGGUA
rnacentral:rRNA from 1 species